rnacentral:misc_RNA from 1 species
AAAAAAAAAAAAAAAAGAUGAAAAAAAAAAAAAAACACUUGUUAUCAUUUAUAGGAAUUGAUCGACAAUUUGAUCUAUCUCAACGAUUUCUUGAACAUUUUCUUUUGUUUAAAAUACAAAAGUUAAAUAAUAAAUUUGAUUAAAAUACAGAAAUUAAAUAAUUCCUUACAUAAUUUUAUAUAUUCUACUCGAUUGUAUUUUGUAAGCGUUUCUCCCGUGCAAUCCUUUUUCUCUAGCAGUCUCGUUCCAUCAAAUCCAUCAUAGAGGUGUUCAUUUUGAUUUUGAAAUAAAAUGAGAAUUUAAACUUAUAAGAAAAUUGUAAAACAUUAAUUUAAUAAUAAAUUCAAACUCUUGAAUCAUUAAG